rnacentral:rRNA from 1 species
UGGGGAAUAUUGGACAAUGGGCGCAAGCCUGAUCCAGCCAUGCCGCGUGAGUGAUGAAGGCCUUCGGGUUGUAAAGCUCUUUCACCCACGACGAUGAUGACGGUAGUGGGAGAAGAAGCCCCGGCUAACUUCGUGCCAGCAGCCGCGGUAAUACGAAGGGGGCAAGCGUUGUUCGGAAUGACUGGGCGUAAAGGGCGCGUAGGCGGUUCGUUGCGUCAGAUGUGAAAGCCCCGGGCUCAACCUGGGAACUGCAUUUGAUACGGGCGGGCUUGAAUCCAAGAGAGGGUGGUGGAAUUCCCAGUGUAGAGGUGAAAUUCGUAGAUAUUGGGAAGAACACCAGUGGCGAAGGCGGCCACCUGGCUUGGUAUUGACGCUGAGGCGCGAAAGCGUGGGGAGCAAACA